AUUGAACGCUGGCGGCAUGCCUUACACAUGCAAGUCGAACGGCAGCACGGGAGCAAUCCUGGUGGCGAGUGGCGAACGGGUGAGUAAUAUAUCGGAACGUGCCCAGUCGUGGGGGAUAACGUAGCGAAAGCUACGCUAAUACCGCAUACGAUCUACGGAUGAAAGCGGGGGAUCGCAAGACCUCGCGCGAUUGGAGCGGCCGAUGUCGGAUUAGCUAGUUGGUGGGUAAAGGCCUACCAAGGCGACGAUCCGUAGCUGGUCUGAGAGGAUGAUCAGCCACACUGGAACUGAGACACGGUCCAGACUCCUACGGGAGGCAGCAGUGGGGAAUAUUGGACAAUGGGCGCAAGCCUGAUCCAGCAAUGCCGCGUGUGUGAAGAAGGCCUUCGGGUUGUAAAGCACUUUUAUCAGGAACGAAAAGCGUUGGAUUAAUACUCUGACGUGCUGACGGUACCUGAGGAAUAAGCACCGGCUAACUUCGUG
rnacentral:rRNA from 1 species